UACGAAGGGGGCUAGCGUUGCUCGGAAUCACUGGGCGUAAAGGGUGCGUAGGCGGGUCUUUAAGUCAGAGGUGAAAUCCUGGAGCUCAACUCCAGAACUGCCUUUGAUACUGAGGGUCUUGAGUAUGACAGAGGUGAGUGGAACUGCGAGUGUAAGAGGUGAAAUUCGUAGAUAAUUCGCAAGAACACCAGUGGGCGAAGGCGGCUCACUGGGUCAUUACUGACGCUGAGGCACGGAAAGCAGUGGGGGAGCAAACAGG
rnacentral:rRNA from 1 species